UACGUAGGGUGCGAGCGUUGUCCGGAUUUAUUGGGCGUAAAGAGCUCGUAGGCGGCUUGUCGCGUCGGAUGUGAAAGCCCGGGGCUUAACUCCGGGUCUGCAUUCGAUACGGGCAGGCUAGAGUGUGGUAGGGGAGAUCGGAAUUCCUGGUGUAGCGGUGAAAUGCGCAGAUAUCAGGAGGAACACCGGUGGCGAAGGCGGUUCUCUGGGACGGUACUGACGCUGAGACGCGAAAGCGUGGGGAGCGAACAGG
rnacentral:rRNA from 1 species